UAUUUCCUAAAGAUUCUGAAAACACAUUCCGAUCGGCAUCGAUCGCGGCCAAGAACUCCGGAAGCUGGGGCCGGAACGAACUGCACAGACGCCUCUUCAUCAUCGCCAUCAUCAUCAUCAUCACCCCAGCCUUGACAGAGCACCGACUAGGUGCAGACGCGCGUACGACCCAAAUCGACGGUCUCCUCUGCAAAGCCUCGCCGAGGUAACAAGCACAGAGAAGUUAAGUAACUUGCCCAAGGUCACACAGCAGCGGAAAUGACUCUUCCUGCGGAGCGAGGGUUAAAUGGUCCUCUCGAAAGGUUUUCCCACGUCGGGCGGCAAGGACAACGAAACAAAUCAUCAACAGGGUAGCUGAUUCUCCCUCUCGACCCGGUGCUUGGCACUCGGCACCUUCCCUGACAUCCCCAGCUUCUGCCCUGGCAGCCCGGGAAGAGUCUGAGGCUGUCCUGAAAGCUUGGAACUCAAGGCUCCAGCAGAGGACAGCGGUGGGAUUUUCCUGUCUCCUCCUCCAGAGUCCAAGCAGCAACGGGCCACACGCGUCACGACCCGCUUGCCGCCUGGACCGUCGGACUCUCUGGCAGAAUGGUAUCUACUUUCUCCGAGUGACCUCGUUGCUCCCUCACC